UGAAUGUUUAUAUCAUCACCUUGUGACUCACUGAUCUCUAACAGCAACCGAAUGCCGUCUGCUAGCAAUGGAUGAAUCGGUCCAAAUCCAUCCCAGAUUGCAUGACAACUGAUAGAACAGAACACAGAUGAGAUUUUCUGCAAACCACUGGCAUUAACUCUAAGGGCUCCUAAACUAUUACUUUUGUGGCCUCGACUAUAAGGGCAGCUUUGUGUUUUAUUUCCCUGAAACUGCUACUUACAAGGACCAGCCAACAAAAGAAUCUGUAUGCUAAUCAACUGGGCCAACUAGGCCCUUUCCCUAGCAGAAAUCUUGAUCUCAGACAGUGACACACUACCAUGUCAUGCAAAGAAUUCAGGGCUUUCCUGCCCGGUGUGAAUAUUUUCCUCAAAGCCUUUUAUUCCUCUCCAAGGAGAAUUUUGCCUAUUUUCCACUCUUGUGCUUCAGACUCACAACUUUGUUUCCCUCCCAUUUUUUGAAAAUGCAUUACUUUGGUGGAUGUGUGAAGACCUCUACAGCUUUAGGGGUAAAGGUGAAUGGAAAGGAUAUCCUCAUUGUUGUAUGAAAUCCAGAAGAUGAGAUAAAUUUUAAGGAAAUAGA